rnacentral:rRNA from 1 species
UACGGAGGAUCCAAGCGUUAUUCGGAGUGACUGGGCGUAAAGAGUUGCGUAGGGGGUUUGUUAAGCAAAUAGUGAAAUCUUGUGGCUCAACCAUAAGGCUAUUAUUUGAACUGGCAGACUUGAGAAUAUGAGAGGUAGAUGGAAUUCCCAGUGUAGGAGUGAAAUCCGUAGAUAUUGGGAGGAACACCAAUGGCGUAGGCAGUCUACUGGCAUAUUUCUGACCCUGAGGCACGAAAGCGUGGGGAGCGAACCGG